AUUGAACGCUGGCGGCAGGCUUAACACAUGCAAGUCGAGCGGGGGAAGGUAGCUUGCUACUGGACCUAGCGGCGGACGGGUGAGUAAUGCUUAGGAAUCUGCCUAUUAGUGGGGGACGACAUCUCGAAAGGGAUGCUAAUACCGCAUACGUCCUACGGGAGAAAGCAGGGGAUCUUCGGACCUUGCGCUAAUAGAUGAGCCUAAGUCGGAUUAGCUAGUUGGUGGGGUAAAGGCCUACCAAGGCGACGAUCUGUAGCGGGUCUGAGAGGAUGGUCCGCCCCACUGGGACUGGGACACGGCCCAGACUCCUACGGGAGGCAGCAGUGGGGAAUAUUGGACAAUGGGGGGAACCCUGAUCCAGCCAUGCCGCGUGUGUGAAGGAGGCCUUAUGGUUGUAAAGCACUUUAAGCGAGGAGGAGGCUACUUUAGUUAAUACCUAGAGAUAGUGGACGUUACUCGCAGAAUAAGCACCGGCUAACUCUGUGCCAGCCGCCGCCGUAA
rnacentral:rRNA from 1 species